rnacentral:rRNA from 1 species
GACGAACGCUGGCGGCAUGCCUAAUACAUGCAAGUCGAACGAACCAAACUGAAGAUUGAUGCUUGCUUCAUGAUUCAGACCUUGGUGAGUGGCGGACGGGUGAGUAACACGUGGGUAACCUGCCCAAAAGUGGGGGAUAACAUUUGGAAACAAGUGCUAAUACCGCAUAACAACUACUUUCACAUGAUCGUAGCUUGAAAGAUGGCUCUGCUAUCGCUUUUGGAUGGACCCGCGGCGUAUUAGCUAGUUGGUGAGGUAAUAGCUCACCAAGGCAAUGAUACGUAGCCGACCUGAGAGGGUAAUCGGCCACAUUGGGACUGAGACACGGCCCAAACUCCUACGGGAGGCAGCAGUAGGGAAUCUUCCACAAUGGGCGAAAGCCUGAUGGAGCAAUGCCGCGUGAGUGAAGAAGGUUUUCGGAUCGUAAAACUCUGUUGUUGAAGAAGAACAUGCGUGAGAGUAACUGUUCACGUACUGACGGUAUUCAACCAGAAAGCCACGGCUAACUACGUGCCAGCAGCCGCGGUAAUACGUAGGUGGCAAGCGUUGUCCGGAUUUAUUGGGCGUAAAGAGAAUGUAGGCGGUUUAUUAAGUUUGAAGUGAAAGCCCUCGGCUCAACCGAGGAAGUGCUUCGAAAACUGGUAAACUUGAGUGCAGAAGAGGAAAGUGGAACUCCAUGUGUAGCGGUGGAAUGCGUAGAUAUAUGGAAGAACACCAGUGGCGAAGGCGGCUUUCUGGUCUGUAACUGACGCUGAGAUUCGAAAGCAUGGGUAGCAAACAGGAUUAGAUACCCUGGUAGUCCAUGCCGUAAACGAUGAGUGCUAAGUUGUUGGAGGGUUUCCGCCCUUCAGUGCUGCAGCUAACGCAUUAAGCACUCCGCCUGGGGAGUACGAUCGCAAGAUUGAAACUCAAAGGAAUUGACGGGGGCCCGCACAAGCGGUGGAGCAUGUGGUUUAAUUCGAAGCAACGCGAAGAACCUUACCAGGUCUUGACAUACCAUGACAAACUAAGAGAUUAGUCUUUCCCUUCGGGGACAUGGAUACAGGUGGUGCAUGGUUGUCGUCAGCUCGUGUCGUGAGAUGUUGGGUUAAGUCCCGCAACGAGCGCAACCCUUAUUAUCAGUUGCCAGCAUUCGGUUGGGCACUCUGGUGAGACUGCCGGUGACAAACCGGAGGAAGGUGGGGACGACGUCAAAUCAUCAUGCCCCUUAUGACCUGGGCUACACACGUGCUACAAUGGUCGGUACAACGUGUUGUGAACUCGCGAGGGCAAGCAAAUCACUUAAAACCGAUCUCAGUUCGGAUUGCAGGCUGCAACUCGCCUGCAUGAAGCUGGAAUCGCUAGUAAUCGCGGAUCAGCAUGCCGCGGUGAAUACGUUCCCGGGCCUUGUACACACCGCCCGUCACACCAUGAGAGUUUGUAACACCCAAAGUCGGUGGGGUAACCCUUCGGGGAACUAGCCGCCUAAGGUGGGACAAAUGAUUAGGGUG